rnacentral:lncRNA from 1 species
CAACAACAACAACUGCCUUGAGGCUGUGGGCGAAAGUGCUGAUUUGUCUUCCAACACACUGGAAGUAUAAAAGUGGCUAUAAAAAGAACAAGAGAAAUGGCAACAUCUGCUGGAGUAGCCAAAAUUGGGAAGAAGGUAUGGUGAGACACUCAAGCUGGCAGAGUGAAGAAUGCAGGAACCAGAACAGUCAAGGACUGGAGGUCAAGAGAAGAAUGCAUUUGCCAGACCAAUAGCUGCAUAUCAAGUGCCAGAGGAUGUGGUAAAUUGCUCAAGCAAUGAAACCGGUUCUGGUACCGGAGCUGCAAUUGGCAUCACCACCUGGGACUUUGCCAACAAUGUUGAACAGAGUGGUCUAAACAUCUCAUUUGGCAGUCUUCUGUAG